GAAACCAUCAUUCUCAGCAAACUAUCACAAGGACAGAAAACCAAACUCAUGUUCUCAUUUAUAGUUGUGAAUUGAACAAUGAGAACACUUGGACACAGGGUGGGGAACAGCACACACCAGGGCCUAUCAGAAGGUGGGGGGCUGCAGGAUGGAUAUCAUCAGGAGAAAUACUUUAUGUAAAUGACGAGUUGAUAGGUGCAGCAAACCAACAUGGUAC
rnacentral:lncRNA from 1 species